UACAGAGGGUGCAAGCGUUGUUCGGAAUUAUUGGGCGUAAAGGGCGCGUAGGCGGUGCGGUAAGUCUGUAGUGAAAUCUCUGGGCUCAACUCAGAGUCUGCUAUAGAAACUGCCGUGCUCGAGUGUGGGAGAGGUGAGUGGAAUUCCCGGUGUAGCGGUGAAAUGCGCAGAUAUCGGGAGGAACACCAAUGGCGAAGGCAGCUCGCUGGGACGGUACUGACGCUGAGACGCGAAAGCGUGGGGAGCAAACAGG
rnacentral:rRNA from 1 species